rnacentral:rRNA from 1 species
CCUACGGGAGGCAGCAGUGAGGAAUAUUGGUCAAUGGGCGAGAGCCUGAACCAGCCAAGUCGCGUGAGGGAGUACUGCCCUAUGGGUUGUAAACCUCUUUUGUCGGGGAGCAAAAGCCGGACGUGUCCGGCUGUGAGAGUACCCGAAGAAAAAGCAUCGGCUAACUCCGUGCCAGCAGCCGCGGUAAUACGGAAGAUGCGAGCGUUAUCCGGAUUUAUUGGGGUUAAAGGGUGCGCAGGCGGAUUUUUAAGUCAGCGGUCAAAUCGUGGGGCUCAACCCCAUCCAGCCGUUGAAACUGGGGAUCUAGAGUGUGCGAGAGGGAGGCGGAAUGCGUGGUGUAGCGGUGAAAUGCAUAGAUAUCACGCAGAACCCCGAUUGCGAAGGCAGCAUACCGGUGCACAACUGACGCUCAGGCACGAAAGCGUGGGUAUCGAACAGGAUUAGAUACCCCUGUAGUC